AGGGUAAACGCUGGCGGCGUGCCUAAAACAUGCAAGUCGCACGGGGUAGUUUCGACUACCGAGUGGCAGACGGCUGAGUAACGCGUGGGUGACGUACCUAUUGGUGGGGAAUAACUGCCCGAAAGGGUGGCUAAUACCGCAUACGCCUGCUGGAUCGAGCCAGCAGGGAAAGUUCCGCAAGGAGCGCCGAUGGAGCGGCCCGCGUCCGAUUAGCCAGUUGGUGGGGUAACGGCCUACCAAAGCGACGAUCGGUAGCUGGUCUCAGAGGAUGAUCAGCCAGACUGGGACUGAGACACGGCCCAGACUCCUACGGGAGGCAGCAGUUAGGAAUUUUGGGCAAUGGGCGCAAGCCUGACCCAGCAACGCCGCGUGGGUGACGAAGGCCUUCGGGUUGUAAAGCCUUUUGAGGGAAGAUGAUGACGGUACCUCCGAAGAAGCACCGGCUAACUACGCGCCAGCAGCCGC
rnacentral:rRNA from 1 species